CGUGUAGGCGGCCAGGUAGGUCCGAUGUGAAAACUGGAGGCUCAACCUCCAGCUGUCAUUGGAAACCAUCUGGCUAGAGUCCGGAAGAGGAGAGUGGAAUUCCUGGUGUAGCGGUGAAAUGCGCAGAUAUCAGGAAGAACACCGAUGGCGAAGGCAGCUCUCUGGGACGGUACUGACGCUGAGACGCGAAAGCGUGGGAGCGAACA
rnacentral:rRNA from 1 species